GUACAUUUAACUACCUUGAUUCGAAAACAAAAACAACAAUGAGGUUGUAUCAUACUGCCCAGUCUAUUCUAAUUCUUGUAAUCUGGAUUGUCUCGGAGGCCAAGUUUAGAGAGAACAAUGUAGUAAGAAUCCCAGUCGGUUCUUCGUAGAUACUUCAACAACUUCUUUCUCCUUUGUACCAUUGCUAGAAGACCCUUUCGAGAGUGUUUAUCCUUUUUGUGAAGAACUGAAGAUAGGUGCUUGAUCUUAGUUGUCAGCAGUGCCACUUGAACACGUGCGGACCCGCAAUCUGACUCCGACAUUUUAAAUUCUUCUCUAACCUUGGCAAGCUCAGUUUUCAAUUUCUCUGCAGAAGACAUAUUAUCUGGAUGGAAAUACUUUUCAACUAAGUGCUCCUUCGGAGGAUGCUUCAUCAAAUCUGGAGUGGUACCCCACUGACCCAAGAGAUUUAGUCUUUCGAUUGAAUUCUUGGCCUUCUCCUCGUCCGACUGCUUAAGUCGCACCAAGCACUGUCUCAAAUCCUUAAAAGAUAUACCACCAAUCCUGGAUUCAGUCUCCCUCUCCUCCAUUUCCCUCAACUUCCUCAACCUCUCAUUCAACUCCUCCAACGAAAACCAAUUCUUUUCACCCUCCUUCACCUCUGGCCGCAGAGUCCUCAACUUCUGCCCCAACUCUCCAUAGUUAUACAUUUUCACAAAUUCUGUACUCGCUCCCUGUUUAACACUGGCAUCCUCCUUUCCAAAAGCCGGCAGUGGCAGUCCCUCGGUCCCACCAAUCACAGUGGAGUUCAUCGAUUCAUUUUCAUUCAUGGGUUUUAGUUUCAAUCUGUCCUUUAAAGCCGAAAACGACAUUGCGUCUUCACUCCUUUUACCAGCGUUUGUGGAUGCUUUGGACCUCAUCUGUCGUAAACUCUCUCUAAUUGCUUGAAAUGACAGCUUCCCAGAAACGGGGUUAUAGUUAUUAUUGGCUUCAAUACUGCCCAAACCAUCCUCUGACUUUCUAAUCAUACUUCGAUUGUAUAGUUCUUGGAACGAGAUUUGCUGCUGCUGCUGCUGCUGUUGUUCGUUGUUCAGAGUAAGGAGAUCCUGAAGUUUUGGAUUCAGUUGGGGGCGGAACAGAGGAUCUACGACGGAACUCCGCGAGAUUCUUUCUUAUUUCUUCAAUAGAAGCAAUUUUUCUUGCCGGUCCCGAGAUAGAAGGAUUGACGUUCGACGGUUCUCUAAGAGGAGGCAAGUUGGGUCUAUUUAGUCGGUUUUUGGGAUUGUGGGUUUUGCAUCUGUUGCUUGAGGCUGGCUUUGACAUCAGGGAAGAAAGAAGAAAACGAGGCUUGUUGUUGCUGUGGUGGUGGUGGUUGCGAAUGAGAAUCGUUGGCAUCUUGAUCGGUAAAUUGGUCGCUGGGUGGGGUUGUGGACGACGACGACGACGACGAAGAAGUAGAAAAGAAGUGGAUGAGAGAAGGGUUAGUAAGGGAUCUGCGUUUGGGUCUGGCGAUAGAGAGAGCCAUUAAAGGUUAAGAAGGUGAAAAAAUGAUGUUUACUGGACUAGGGUUUGAGAGUGAAGAAGAAGGGUGGCACUGGC
rnacentral:misc_RNA from 1 species